GUUAUCCAGUGACCAAUCAUUAUUACAGUUCUUACCAGGCAUCGUGGAUUUGAUCUCCUUCCCCAACCCAACUUCCUCCGCUGUCCCCUUUGGGCCAUAAAAGUGCGUCAUCUUGACUUCAGCUACAAUAGACCAACAGAUCAGCACCUCCCAGGGAUGACGCAGCCAAAACAGAGAUCAGCUUCAAAGGGGAAGGCCAAUUUCGAGUGACUGGAUCAUCCAAUUAAAAUAUGUCUCCCAUCCUCGAGUCCAAACGCUUCCAUCUCCCACAAUAGGGCUGGACGGACUUGGCAGUCAAACGCUUUGUUUCAACGCGACUUUCUACUACACUGAGCAGGGUUCGCAGUUUUAAUGUUGUACAUCCACGGAAAAUAUUCCCAAGCGUUGAAGACCGGCGUACAAAGCAAUGAUGAAUCAAAUCAAAUCAGUUAAAUGGGCUUGAGUGGCUGCAGCACCGUCAAGUAGUCCAAACUGACGUGUCAGAACGCGUUCUUAGAAGUGCAACCCUCCUAUACGUGUCUACUCAGUCCAUUUAAGUUCAACGGGGCUUACUCUUUUGUAAGUGGAUACAGGAUCCUCCAGUGACAGGUGGAUCGCAGCCUAAGAAGACCAGUGAACGGCUCCCCACGUCACUCUGACGCCAUCUUUGACGUAGAGGCGAGAUUAGCAAUCGUUAUCGCGUUCUAGGAACACGCCGUUGUGAAAUGUCAGGAAUGGGGGUGGCGUGGGGUUAGGCUUCCGCUCAGGCAAUUUGGCAGUACAGAAAACUCGCAAAAACACCCACCAAGCUGGUCCCAGUGCUUGAAAUGCGGUCUGUGAAUUCCUGUCGCUUUAUUUCUAAUUCCUACUACUAAGCCAUCUGCUGUUUUUGGAAUAAAG